rnacentral:rRNA from 1 species
GACGAACGCUGGCGGCGUGCUUAACACAUGCAAGUCGAACGGAAAGGCCUCUUUCGGGGGGUACUCGAGUGGCGAACGGGUGAGUAACACGUGAGUAACCUGCCCUUGACUUUGGGAUAACUUCAGGAAACUGGGGCUAAUACCGGAUAGGAGCUCCUGCUGCAUGGUGGGGGUUGGAAAGUUUCGGCGGUUGGGGAUGGACUCGCGGCUUAUCAGCUUGUUGGUGGGGUAGUGGCUUACCACGGCUUUGACGGGUAGCCGGCCUGAGAGGGUGACCGGCCACAUUGGGACUGAGAUACGGCCCGGACUCCUACGGGAGGCAGCAGUGGGGAAUAUUGCACAAUGGGUGGAAGCCUGAUGCAGCAACGCCGUGUGCGGGAUGACGGCCUUCGGGUUGUAAACCGCUUUCGCUCAUGACGAAGCUUUGUGUGACGGUAGUGGGUAAAGAAGCACCGGCUAACUACGUG